UACGUAGGGCGCGAGCGUUGUCCGGAAUUAUUGGGCGUAAAGAGCUCGUAGGCGGCUUGUCACGUCGAUUGUGAAAGCCCGAGGCUUAACCUCGGGUCUGCAGUCGAUACGGGCUGGCUAGAGUGUGGUAGGGGAGAUCGGAAUUCCUGGUGUAGCGGUGAAAUGCGCAGAUAUCAGGAGGAACACCGGUGGCGAAGGCGGGUCUCUGGGCAGUAACUGACGCUGAGGAGCGAAAGCGUGGGGAGCGAACAGG
rnacentral:rRNA from 1 species